CUGGAAGGCUUCCCUCUCCUACCAGGUGAAGAUAAGGCGCCACAGUCUGGGACCAGGACCAUCCGUGUUGUGCGACAACGCUCAGCUCAUCUGCCUGAGCCUAGCCUCUGCACCACCUCUCCUGGGGUCACGCUGAGCCUUGGAGCCACAUGGAGCCUGCAGAGUGGAAUGGAGCCUGGGGAGCCUGCGGUGGAGGGUCUGCUCCGGUCUGCCUGGGCAGUCAGAAGGUAGAGCAAAGGAUGGGCUGGCAACAAUCUCUGCCAGUCUUAGAAGCGUCCAGAAUUCGUACCAUUUACAUCAAUGACCCCCUGAAGAACAUUUUCUGCCAAAACUGGAUCAGGUGAGAUAAGCGGAUGUAGCUGGGAGGAGAGGAAGGAAGAAGUUCUGGUGCCCACUCCCGGUAGGUCUGCUCCUGUGACUGCAUGCUAGGGCUGCGGCUGUUUCCUGCAGCCUUCAGGGAGUUCCGGUUCUCAGGUUCACUACCAACAACAGGUUCUGCUCUUACUUGUUUCUGCUCAUGGCCGUGACCAUGCAGCCCACUGCCGACUGACAGAACUCUGGCAGCUCUGUAAAUAUAAGCUGACCUGCUUUCCUAGGGCACCUCACACAGCUGCUGAACUCCCACGAGCAUACUGAUUAGGGCGACUGCACAUUGAGCUUCUUAGGGAUUCUCUCUCUGAGGAAUUUGCUGAGCUGAGUUCUUACUGCAGAGGCAGAGUUAGAUGAAAACUUGAAGGAAAGGAAAC